CAAGGCAUACCGCUCAGUAACACGUAGUCAAUCUAACCUAUGGACGGGGAUAACCUCGGGAAACUGAGAAUAAUACCCGAUAGAACAUUAUGCCUGGAAUGGUUUAUGUUUAAAAUGAUUCGUUCGCCGUAGGGUGGGACUGCGGCCUAUCAGUUUGUUGGUGAGGUAAUGGCCCACCAAGACUAUUACAGGUACGGGCCCCGAGAGGGGUAGCCCGGAGAUGGGUACUGAGACACGGACCCAGGCCCUAUGGGGCGCAGCAGGCGAGAAAACUUUGCAAUGUGCGAAAGCACGACAAGGUUAAUCCGAGUGGUUCCUGCUAAAGGAACCUUUUGUCAGUCGUAAAACCACUAAUGAAUAAGGGGUGGGCAAGUUCUGGUGUCAGCCGCCGCGGUAAAACCAGCACCUCAAGUGGUCAGGAUGAUUAUUGGGCCUAAAGCAUCCGUAGCCUGGUGCAUAAGUUUUCGGUUAAAUCCAUAUGCUCAACAUAUGGGCCGCCGGGAAUACUGUGCACCUAGGGAGUGGGAGAGGUA
rnacentral:rRNA from 1 species